GACAUAGGUGGCAAGCGUUAUCCGGUAUUAUUGGGCGUAAAGGGUGCGUAGAUGGUUUAAUAAGUUAAUGGUGGCAAAUCAAAGCUUAACUUUGUGGAAGCUGUUAAUACUGUUAGACUUGAGUUCAGGAGAAGUUGACGGAACUCUACAUGGAGUAGUGAAAUGCGUAGAUAUGUAGAAGAACAUCAAAAGCGAAGGCAGUUGACUAUUCUGUUCCUGACAUUGAGGCAUGAAAGCGUGGGGAGCAAACCGG
rnacentral:rRNA from 1 species